rnacentral:rRNA from 1 species
UGACCUCAAAUCAGGUAGGACUACCCGCUGAACUUAAGCAUAUCAAUAAGCGGAGGAAAAGAAACUAACAAGGAUUCCCCUAGUAACUGCGAGUGAAGCGGGAAAAGCUCAAUUUAAAAUCUGGCAGUCUUUGGCUGUCCGAGUUGUAGUCUGAGAAGCG